GAACGAACGCUGGCGGCGUGGAUAAGACAUGCAAGUCGAACGCUGAUCAGCCCGUAGCAAUACGGGCUGGUUGGAGUGGCGCAAGGGUGCGUAACACGUGGGUAAUUUGCCAUGAAGUUGGGGAUAACUCGCUGAAAGGCGAGCUAAUACCGGAUGAGAAGGCGGGGAGGCAUCUCCCUGUUUUGAAAGUUGGGGACCGCAAGGCCUGACGCUUUAUGAUAAGCCCGCGGCCUAUCAGCUAGUUGGCGAGGUAACGGCUCACCAAGGCUAAGACGGGUAGCUGGUCUGAGAGGACGACCAGCCACACUGGGAACUGAGACACGGUCCAGACACCUACGGGUGGCAGCAGUCGAGAAUUUUUCNCAAUGGGCGAAA
rnacentral:rRNA from 1 species